CAGUCGCCGCGGUAAUACGUAGGGUGCAAGCGUUAAUCGGAAUUACUGGGCGUAAAGCGUGCGCAGGCGGUUAUAUAAGACAGAUGUGAAAUCCCCGGGCUCAACCUGGGAACUGCAUUUGUGACUGUAUAGCUAGAGUACGGCAGAGGGGGAUGGAAUUCCGCGUGUAGCAGUGAAAUGCGUAGAUAUGCGGAGGAACACCGAUGGCGAAGGCAAUCCCCUGGGCCUGUACUGACGCUCAUGCACGAAAGCGUGGGGAGCAAACAGGAUUAGAUACCCCCGUAGUCCCUGUCUCUUAUAA
rnacentral:rRNA from 1 species